CCAAGGCCAGGGCGCUCUGGAGGGAAGCAUAGAGGAGCCCAGCUGGAGGUCUGUUCUCCUGGAUGUCUCACGAAGAAGAUUCAAGAAUAUCACGGUCCUGAAAACAAAGGAGAAACUGUGGACCUGUCGUAGCUGCAAAGAGACUCAAACUUGAUAAAAUCCCUGUGAUGCUCUGGGUGUCUCUUCAUACAGAAAUAAAACACAAAUGGAAAAUGGGUGAAAUAAACACAAUGUGUAGAGUUUCACACUAAUGCCCCAACAUUAAAUUCUUAGGUUUGACAAAUACAUCAUGGUACCAACAGAAAAUAGUACUGAAGAUGAGAGGUCGAGGUGAGGGAUACACAGAAAAGAUAUAUUCAUUAAGACUAUCACUGUUGGUGAUCUGAAAAAUGCGAACACUCCUGGACUUAGCAUCAGGAAACUAUUUCAUAUGUUCACCAGAAAGUGGUCAUCGAUCUCCUUUACUCAUCAUAAAACAUAUGAGACCACGGGCUACUGUUCCAUUCCUUGAGAAAGAAACCGAGACCGUGGGAAGCUUGUUUCCUGUAGCGUCAUGUCAUGCACUUACAUCAAUCUGUACAUCAGCUCAGCCGUUAUAACACUGAAGGAGCCUUGUCAUUCUCUGCCUGCCUCUCUGUCACUGUUUGUCAAUCAUCAUAUAUCUAUAUGUUGAAGAUGGGCUGUAUUCAAAAUGUAAGAACAAGAGCCACACACUGUUUGGGGGAGACAGUUCAAAUACUGAACAAAAUAAGA